rnacentral:rRNA from 1 species
GACGAACGCUGGCGGCGUGCUUAACACCUGCCAGUCGAACGGAAAGGCCCUGCUUUUGUUGGGUGCUCGAGUGGCGAACGGGUGAGUAACACGUGAGUAACCUGCCCUUUACUUUUGGAUAACUUCCGGAAACUGGGGCUAAUACCGGUUAGGAGCUCCUGCUGCAUGGUGGGGGUUGGAAAGUUUCGGCGGUUGGGGAUGGACUCGCGGCUUUUCAGCUUGUUGGUGGGGUAGUGGCUUACCAAGGCUUUGACGGGUAGCCGGCCUGAGAGGGUGACCGGCCACAUUGGGACUGAGAUACGGCCCAGACUCCUACGGGAGGCAGCAGUGGGGAAUAUUGCACAAUGGGCGGAAGCCUGAUGCAGCAACGCCGCGUGCGGGAUGACGGCCUUCGGGUUGUAAACCGCUUUCGCCUGUGACGAAGCGUGAGUGACGGUAAUGGGUAAAGAAGCACCGGCUAACUACGUG